UCACCAUCAUGGGCCUAUAGCAGUCCACU
rnacentral:sRNA from 1 species